GGACCUGUGGCUGAAGUGGUAAAGCAUUAGUAUUAAGCACAAAAGCUCAGGGGCAGUGCCAAGGCCCUGGGUUCAAGCCCCAGCACCA
rnacentral:tRNA from 1 species